UGUUCACGUCGUUCGUCUUUC
rnacentral:piRNA from 1 species